CCUACGGGUGGCACCAGUGGGGAAUAUUGCACAAAGGGCGCAAGCCUGAUGCAGCCAUGCCGCGUGUAUGAAGAAGGCCUUCGGGUUGUAAAGUACUUUCAGCGGGGAGGAAGGUGUUGAGGUUAAUACCUCAGCAAUUGACGUUACCCGCAGAAGAAGCACCGGCUAACUCCGUGCCAGCAGCCGCGGUAAUACGGAGGGUGCAAGCGUUAAUCGGAAUUACUGGGCGUAAAGCGCACGCAGGCGGUCUGUCAAGUCGGAUGUGAAAUCCCCGGGCUCAACCUGGGAACUGCAUUCGAAACUGGCAGGCUAGAGUCUUGUAGAGGGGGGUAGAAUUCCAGGUGUAGCGGUGAAAUGCGUAGAGAUCUGGAGGAAUACCGGUGGCGAAGGCGGCCCCCUGGACAAAGACUGACGCUCAGGUGCGAAAGCGUGGGGAGCAAACAGGAUUAGAUACCCCUGUAGUC
rnacentral:rRNA from 1 species